rnacentral:lncRNA from 1 species
CCUGGGUUCCCUAGCUGGGUUGAAUAGAUAUGUGUGUUCCAUCUCCCCAGGAAAAGUUUGUCACAUAACAACUAGAGACUGAACUUGAGCCUUGCAUACGCUAGGUGCAUAUGCUCUAUCAGUGAGCUACGUCUCUGUGUCUUUCCAGGGUUUCACUAUAUAGUCCUGGUUGUCCUGGAAUUUGCAAUAUAGACCAGGCUGGCCUCAAAUGAACAGAGAUCUACUUGUCUCUGUCUCCUGCGUCCUGGAAUUAAAUGUGAGUACCACAACACCUAGCUCUGCUCUCUUUGCUUUCUUUCUUGUUUUGAGAUAUGGUCUCACUAGAUUACCAGCUUGUAGCCCAGACUCACCUUCUAUUCUCCUGGGUUACAAAUCUGC